AGGUCUAAAAUUAGUCGCAUUGGGUCAAAAUUCAAAUGGGAUCUGAGCAAUUUCUUCGCUUCGAUUCUUAAACCCUUUGAAUCAUUAAUACCCAUUCUCGUGUUGAAUAUCCCAACAGGACCCAGAAUCUUGUCUGCCCACAAAAAUCGUUCCCAAAUUUACACUAAUACCUCGUUUUUUUCCCUUUUCCUAAUCACUUUUCAACGAUGUGGGAAGAACAUUUGUUAGUAAGAGUAACAGAUCUCCCCUGAUACCCUUUUCAAACCCGUUGCUAUCACGCGCUCUCUCUCGUACUCAUUUAUAGAUUAGAACAGAUAGCAGAAGAAGAAGAAGAAGAAGAAGAACAGAGAGAUAGCGAGAGGAAAUGAGUGUUGAACUAAUUGGAGACUCUUGUUUUCCACCACUUUUGUUUGGUGUUCAUAUGGGUCUUGCUUUUGUUGAUGCCAUUAUUGCUGUUCUUGCAUUUUAUCAGUUAGCAAGGAUUCAAUUAAGAAACUCACGUGGUUGGACUCGUCAAAAAGUGUUUCAUCUAUUGAUUGGUUCUUCUAAUUUGGGUUAUUUAGCUUAUUUUGUGUUGGCCCUAUUUGCUGCUUGCAAUGGAUGGUCAUGUUGGUCGGGUUCUUGUGGUUUCAUUUUUAUGGCUUUUCCCAAAAUUCUGCUAUUGGCUUUGUUUCUUCUUCUUCUGUCAUUCUGGGUUGACCUGUGCCAUCAACCAGACGAUGAAGACGACGAAGAUGAAGAGAGAAGUUUCGAGGAAGGCUUGUUGGAGAAGAUCUCAAGUACAUCAAAUACAGAUUGGAGUAGAAGGUGGUGGCUUCCGGUACGACUGCCUCAUGUUGGAAGCCGUCAAAAUUUAGUCAUCCUGGUCGUCACGAUUUUCUUCGUCUUAACGUUGGCAUUUGCUGUGAUACUUUGGAUUGGGAUGAGAAACAAAUCCAUUGAUUCUUUGUUAGUUCUUCAGGUAGUAUAUGUAGAUCUUUUUGCUGUAGUGAUUCUCUUAUUAGGAGGCGCCUUAGCUUGCUACGGACUGCUGUUGUUCUUGAAAAUGAGAAGAGUUAGAUCUGAGAGAGCAUCCUCUGAAAUAUUAAAGGUUGCGGGUUUGGCUGCCGUGUCGGUCGUAUGUUUCACUUCAAGUGCACUGGUAGCUUUUCUAACGAACAUACCGGUACCGAAUCAAUGGCGACAACAAUAUCGCAUUUAUGGUGCAUAUACUUCGACUUUGCUGAUUACAUAUUACUUUAUAGAUUAUUAUGCCAGGAUCAUCAAUUCCUUCAGCAUUUGUUCUAUGGAUCAUGAGAGAAUUACCACCAUGGAUAGCAGCUAGUGCCGAAGAACGAGUAGGGACAAUAACCUUCGUUCAUGACGAUUCUGCAGCCGUUCGUCGUCCUCAGCAUUGGACUUUGACAACGAAUUCUCCGGAACCAUCGAGGGGUAGCCCCAUAUAGAUGCUUUUGGGAUGCAAGUUUACAUCAAGUGUGCCAGAACUGGUGAUUGACAUUGUGAAAGAAUUUUUUUGAUUGUUAUGUAGAUAUGAUUGAAUCGGUUGUGAAACGUGCUCGAUGAGCGGUAUCGAAAAAUCCGUAAGGUUUUGUUGCUUCCAUGAUUUUCUAUGAUGUUGUAAACAUGUGUAUAUACUUUCGUUGUACGUUGCUUUAAUCAAAUGUCAAUAGAAUAAGUGGAUAUCUCGAGCUAAACGAUGAUUUCACUGUUUCUUUCU